UCCGGUUUGUCACCGGCGGUCUCCUUAGAGUGCCCAACUGAAUGCUGGCAACUAAUGGCAAGGGUUGCGCUCGUUGCGGGACUUAACCCAACAUCUCACGACACGAGCUGAUGACAGCCAUGCAGCACCUGUGUCUAGGUUCCCUUUCGGGCACCGCUGCAUCUCUGCAGCGUUCCUAGCAUGUCAAGGGUAGGUAAGGUUUUUCGCGUUGCAUCGAAUUAAUCCACAUCAUCCACCGCUUGUGCGGGUCCCCGUCAAUUCCUUUGAGUUUUAGCCUUGCGGCCGUACUCCCCAGGCGGAGUGCUUAAUGCGUUAGCUGCGGCACAGAGAGGGUUGAAGACCUCCCCACACCUAGCACUCAACGUUUACGGCUGGGACUAC
rnacentral:misc_RNA from 1 species